rnacentral:rRNA from 1 species
GACGAACGCUGGCGGCGUGCUUAACACAUGCAAGUCGAACGGAAAGGCCCUGCUUUUGUGGGGUGCUCGAGUGGCGAACGGGUGAGUAACACGUGAGUAACCUGCCCUUGACUUUGGGAUAACUUCAGGAAACUGGGGCUAAUACCGGAUAGGAUCUCCUGCUGCAUGGUGGGGGUUGGUAAGUUUCGGCGGUUGGGGAUGGACUCGCUGCUUAUCCGCUUGUUGGUGGGGUUGUGGAUUACAAAGGCUUUGAAGGGUAGCCGGCCUGAGAGGGCGACCGGCCACAUUGGGACUGAGAUACGGCCCAGACUCCUACGGGAGGCAGCAGUGGGGAAUAUUGCACAAUGGGCGGAAGCCUGAUGCAGCAACGCCGCGUGCGGGAUGACGGCCUUCGGGUUGUAAACCGCUUUCGCCUGUGACGAAGCGUGAGUGACGGUAAUGGGUAAAGAAGCACCGGCUAACUACGUG